UUGAUCCUGGUUCAGGACGAACGCUGGCGGCGUGCCUAAUACAUGCAAGUAGAACGCACAGGAUGCACCGUAGUUUACUACACCGUAUUCUGUGAGUUGCGAACGGGUGAGUAACGCGUAGGUAACCUGCCUGGUAGCGGGGAAAACUAUUGGAAACGAUAGCUAAUACCGCAUAAGAACAUUUACUGCAUGGUAGAUGUUUAAAAGGUGCAAAUGCAUCACUACCAGAUGGACCUGCGUUGUAUUAGCUAGUAGGUGAGGUAACGGCUCACCUAGGCGACGAUACAUAGCCGACCUGAGAGGGUGAUCGGCCACACUGGGACUGAGACACGGCCCAGACUCCUACGGGAGGCAGCAGUAGGGAAUCUUCGGCAAUGGGGGGGAACCCUGACCGAGCAACGCCGCGUGAGUGAAGAAGGUUUUCGGAUCGUAAAGCUCUGUUGUUAAGGAAGAACGAGUGUGAGAAUGGAAAGUUCAUACUGUGACGGUACUUAACCAGAAAGGGACGGCUAACUACGUGCCAGCAGCCGCGGUAAUACGUAGGUCCCGAGCGUUGUCCGGAUUUAUUGGGCGUAAAGCGAGCGCAGGCGGUUAGAUAAGUCUGAAGUUAAAGGCAGUGGCUCAACCAUUGUAGGCUUUGGAAACUUUUUU
rnacentral:rRNA from 1 species